GACGAACGCUGGCGGCGUGCUUAACACAUGCAGGUCGAACGGUGAAGCGAGUGCUUGCACUCGUGGAUCAGUGGCGAACGGGUGAGUAACACGUGAGUAACCUGCCCAUCACUCUGGGAUAAGCACUGGAAACGGUGUCUAAUACUGGAUACGACCAACCCUUGCAUGGGGUGUUGGUGGAAAGAUUUAUCGGUGAUGGAUGGACUCGCGGCCUAUCAGCUUGUUGGCGGGGUAAUGGCCCACCAAGGCGACGACGGGUAGCCGGCCUGAGAGGGUGACCGGCCACACUGGGACUGAGACACGGCCCAGACUCCUACGGGAGGCAGCAGUGGGGAAUAUUGCACAAUGGGCGAAAGCCUGAUGCAGCGACGCCGCGUGAGGGAUGACGGCCUUCGGGUUGUAAACCUCUUCCAGCAGGGAAGAAGCGAAAGUGACGGUACCUGCAGAAGAAGCACCGGCUAACUACGUG
rnacentral:rRNA from 1 species